AUCAAAGCCAAGUUAUGAUUACCAUUAAUUAGUAAUUAGUUUUGUGCGUUAUAAGUAUAGGUAUUAUUACUGUGAAUUCUAGUGUGUUUUCUGUUUCCACAACCUCUAACGGAUCUAUACAGCUAUAGAAGUCCCACAAGGGGAACUACCCAAGUGUAACACUCACUUAUUAAUGAAACUUUGCCACCUUGCAGAGCACGACGAACUGAACACGCCUCUACCCUAUUAAGGGAGCAGACGGCUAAUUGUUUAAAAGAUAUUAACAAUUAAAGUUAAUUACUCCUUACAUUGAGAAGUAUGACAAACUUACACAUACAAACGGUUAGCUCCGCGGUAAAACGCACUACCCACAAUCUAAAGGUCCACGGUUCAAAUCCAUGGUCCUCAACUUUUAUUUUUAAAUUAUAAUUUGUAUCUUUUUGAAUAACUAUUACAGCUGUGCUAUAAUCAUUGCAUUUAUUAAUAAUUAAUUAGAUACGCUGCAAUAUUUAUAGAAUUUAAGUGAUGCUUUCUAUCCAGUACGGACAUUUCCAUCGUUACUGCAUUCGAAAUUUACAAGCGUUUAUUUGUUACUACACACACAACCUAUUAUUUUUUACAAGUUCAAUUUACUCAAAAAGGGUAUAUUCAUUUAUACUACCGUGCCAAUUUAUAAUUCAUAUUUACAAGUAUUUACAAGUAGUUACAGUAAUAUGUGGUUAUUUAUAGUUAUUCAAAAAGAGACAAAUUAUAAUUGAUAAAACAAAAAGCGGUGAACCAUGGAUUUGAACCUUGGACCUUUAGAUUGCGAGUUAUACGUUUUACCGGAUAGUUAACCCCAGUAGCCAUCUACAAGGUCGCAAAGUUUCAUUAAUAAGUGAGUGUUACACUUGAGUAGUUCCUCUUGCCAAUAAGAACAAACUGAAGAAUGAAUCGCUUAUUUCAUGAAGCAAAUACGGUCAGAGAAAUAUGUAUAACUUUUGACAGGUAUAGGUUAGAGUUAAUCACAUCUUGAAAGUACUUAUUAAAAUAUUACAAGUAGAAUCAACCGCAUAUUGCAUGAAAUAGAAUGCAAGAUGGAAUAAUGUUGCCCAGUAAUAAAUACAUGCAAGUUUAUUUGAGUUUAUUAGGACUUUAUAUGCUGUUGACAAUACAGCAUAGCAUGGUACGUACAUUCAUAUGUACUUUUGGCUACUCUUUCUAAAGUAACAUGUAACUUUUUAUAUCAAUAAAAAGAGCAUGUAAUAAAGGCGUUUCAAUAAUAGAGUAUGACAAUCAAAAUCAAAAUGGGGGUAUAUUUGUCAUUAUUUGGUCAUUAAUUUGGUGGAUUCCAAAUAUAGGUGCAGUUGAAUAUAAUCUAUCAAUAUAUAAUAAUAUGACUUCUUCUUCUUUUUAUAUAUUUUCAGCAUCUGUUCAGACAUUGAUGGGGAAAUUACAACCAAAAAAUUAUAAAGCAGAACAAUUAAAUAAAUACAUUAAAGAAAUUAACCAGCAUAGAAUGAAAUACUAGGACGAAUAUAGAAAAUGGAUGAAAUUACUUUGUCGCAAGAUAUAUCUGGAAAUAUGUUUAAGCAUUUAUUCAGACAUUGAUGAGGAAAUUACAACAAAGAAUUUAGCGAGUAGAAAAAUUUGAUACAUACAGUGAACAAAUUAUCCAAAGAAGAGGAUUAUUAAAUUAGAUAAGUUUGUCUUCCAAAUCAUGGACUAUAAAAACAAUGUAAUGCCAGCAUAUUUUAAGUAAAUAAAUUAAUUGUUGAAAAUGAGA